UGUUGUCGCGCAGCGCGCCGCCUGCGCUGAUAACGUGAUGCCACGCCGGACCGCGCGCGCGCUUUGUACGCUCCGUAAGCUCGCACAUUACCGCUUAAAGCUCGCGCGUGCGUAAGCUAUGGAAUGGAUAUUUUGAGUGCUGUGACAUUAAAAAAUAACUUUUUGACAAUAUUUUUUUACUUUGUGUGUUAAAGACGUUAUUUUUUUUUAAGUGUUUAUAAGAAAGUGAAAACGAUACUGUGCUAAUUAAAAUUUAAGGAUUUUUCAUGGAACUUGGAAAAUUUUGAAGUGCGAUUCGUUGAAUGACACUAUAAAGUUUAAAAGAGAUCCGAGCAGUUUUUUUUAUUCUUCUAAUUUAGCAGUGCAACAACAACGCCGCCAAGCUGUCUACCGCAAAUGAGAUUAUACCCAGUCACCACGUCCAAGCGCUAAUAGGUCGGUGGCGCACGAGCCCGAUGAGCGCGUGCGCGGC